rnacentral:rRNA from 1 species
UAAGUUAUUAAGGGCGCACGGUGGAUGCCUUGGCACUAGAAGCCGAUGAAGGACGUUACUAACGACGAUAUGCUUUGGGGAGCUGUAAGUAAGCUUUGAUCCAGAGAUUUCCGAAUGGGGAAACCCAGCAUGAGUUAUGUCAUGUUAUCGAUAUGUGAAUACAUAGCAUAUCAGAAGGCACACCCGGAGAACUGAAACAUCUUAGUACCCGGAGGAAGAGAAAGAAAAUUCGAUUCCCUUAGUAGCGGCGAGCGAAACGGGAAGAGCCCAAACCAACAAGCUUGCUUGUUGGGGUUGUAGGACACUCUAUACGGAGUUACAAAGGACGACAUUAGACGAAUCAUCUGGAAAGAUGAAUCAAAGAAGGUAAUAAUCCUGUAGUCGAAAAUGUUGUCUCUCUUGAGUGGAUCCUGAGUACGACGGAGCACGUGAAAUUCCGUCGGAAUCUGGGAGGACCAUCUCCUAAGGCUAAAUACUCUCUAGUGACCGAUAGUGAACCAGUACCGUGAGGGAAAGGUGAAAAGCACCCCGGAAGGGGAGUGAAAUAGAACCUGAAACCGUGUGCUUACAAGUAGUCAGAGCCCGUUAAUGGGUGAUGGCGUGCCUUUUGUAGAAUGAACCGGCGAGUUACGAUUUGAUGCAAGGUUAAGCAGUAAAUGUGGAGCCGUAGCGAAAGCGAGUCUGAAUAGGGCGUUUAGUAUUUGGUCGUAGACCCGAAACCAGGUGAUCUACCCUUGGUCAGGUUGAAGUUCAGGUAACACUGAAUGGAGGACCGAACCGACUUACGUUGAAAAGUGAGCGGAUGAACUGAGGGUAGCGGAGAAAUUCCAAUCGAACCUGGAGAUAGCUGGUUCUCUCCGAAAUAGCUUUAGGGCUAGCCUCAAGUGAUGAUUAUUGGAGGUAGAGCACUGUUUGGACGAGGGGCCCCUCUCGGGUUACCGAAUUCAGACAAACUCCGAAUGCCAAUUAAUUUAACUUGGGAGUCAGAACAUGGGUGAUAAGGUCCGUGUUCGAAAGGGAAACAGCCCAGACCACCAGCUAAGGUCCCAAAAUAUAUGUUAAGUGGAAAAGGAUGUGGCGUUGCCCAGACAACUAGGAUGUUGGCUUAGAAGCAGCCAUCAUUUAAAGAGUGCGUAAUAGCUCACUAGUCGAGUGACACUGCGCCGAAAAUGUACCGGGGCUAAACAUAUUACCGAAGCUGUGGAUUGUCCUUUGGACAAUGGUAGGAGAGCGUUCUAAGGGCGUUGAAGCAUGAUCGUAAGGACAUGUGGAGCGCUUAGAAGUGAGAAUGCCGGUGUGAGUAGCGAAAGACGGGUGAGAAUCCCGUCCACCGAUUGACUAAGGUUUCCAGAGGAAGGCUCGUCCGCUCUGGGUUAGUCGGGUCCUAAGCUGAGGCCGACAGGCGUAGGCGAUGGAUAACAGGUUGAUAUUCCUGUACCACCUAUAAUCGUUUUAAUCGAUGGGGGACGCAGUAGGAUAGGCGAAGCGUGCGAUUGGAUUGCACGUCUAAGCAGUAAGGCUGAGUAUUAGGCAAAUCCGGUACUCGUUAAGGCUGAGCUGUGAUGGGGAGAAGACAUUGUGUCUUCGAGUCGUUGAUUUCACACUGCCGAGAAAAGCCUCUAGAUAGAAAAUAGGUGCCCGUACCGCAAACCGACACAGGUAGUCAAGAUGAGAAUUCUAAGGUGAGCGAGCGAACUCUCGUUAAGGAACUCGGCAAAAUGACCCCGUAACUUCGGGAGAAGGGGUGCUCUUUAGGGUUAACGCCCAGAAGAGCCGCAGUGAAUAGGCCCAAGCGACUGUUUAUCAAAAACACAGGUCUCUGCUAAACCGUAAGGUGAUGUAUAGGGGCUGACGCCUGCCCGGUGCUGGAAGGUUAAGAGGAGUGGUUAGCUUCUGCGAAGCUACGAAUCGAAGCCCCAGUAAACGGCGGCCGUAACUAUAACGGUCCUAAGGUAGCGAAAUUCCUUGUCGGGUAAGUUCCGACCCGCACGAAAGGCGUAACGAUUUGGGCACUGUCUCAACGAGAGACUCGGUGAAAUCAUAGUACCUGUGAAGAUGCAGGUUACCCGCGACAGGACGGAAAGACCCCGUGGAGCUUUACUGUAGCCUGAUAUUGAAAUUCGGCACAGCUUGUACAGGAUAGGUAGGAGCCUUUGAAACGUGAGCGCUAGCUUACGUGGAGGCGCUGGUGGGAUACUACCCUAGCUGUGUUGGCUUUCUAACCCGCACCACUUAUCGUGGUGGGAGACAGUGUCAGGCGGGCAGUUUGACUGGGGCGGUCGCCUCCUAAAAGGUAACGGAGGCGCUCAAAGGUUCCCUCAGAAUGGUUGGAAAUCAUUCAUAGAGUGUAAAGGCAUAAGGGAGCUUGACUGCGAGACCUACAAGUCGAGCAGGGUCGAAAGACGGACUUAGUGAUCCGGUGGUUCCGCAUGGAAGGGCCAUCGCUCAACGGAUAAAAGCUACCCGGGGAUAACAGGCUUAUCUCCCCCAAGAGUUCACAUCGACGGGGAGGUUUGGCACCUCGAUGUCGGCUCAUCGCAUCCUGGGGCUGUAGUCGGUCCCAAGGGUUGGGCUGUUCGCCCAUUAAAGCGGUACGCGAGCUGGGUUCAGAACGUCGUGAGACAGUUCGGUCCCUAUCCGUCGUGGGCGUAGGAAAUUUGAGAGGAGCUGUCCUUAGUACGAGAGGACCGGGAUGGACAUACCUCUGGUGUACCAGUUGUCGUGCCAACGGCAUAGCUGGGUAGCUAUGUGUGGACGGGAUAAGUGCUGAAAGCAUCUAAGCAUGAAGCCCCCCUCAAGAUGAGAUUUCCCAACUUCGGUUAUAAGAUCCCUCAAAGAUGAUGAGGUUAAUAGGUUCGAGGUGGAAGCAUGGUGACAUGUGGAGCUGACGAAUACUAAUCGAUCGAAGACUUAAUCA